ensembl:lncRNA
CUCACCUCCAAAACACCUCAUUCUCCCCUGGGGUUGACAUCUCUACGGUGACUCACCUCCAAAACACCUCAUUCCCCCCUGACUCCCCUGAGGUUGACAUCUCUACGGUGACUCACCUCCAAAACACCUCAUUCGCCCCUGACUCCCCUGAGGUUGACAUCUCUACGGUGACUCACCUCCAAAACACCUCAUUCCCCCCUGACUCCCCUGAGGUUGACAUCUCUACGGUGACUCACCUCCAAAACACCUCAUUCCCCCCUGACUCCCCUGGGGUUGACAUUCACAUUGUUUCAUUAAUCUGAAACAACUUUCUGC